rnacentral:tRNA from 1 species
CGAGCACCCCCCGGGACCAGGUAGUAUUUUCUUUGUCGCCAGCUGCGGAGACGAAAAUCCGAGGCAGGCGGGAG